UACGAAGGGGGCUAGCGUUGCUCGGAAUCACUGGGCGUAAAGCGCACGUAGGCGGAUCGUUAAGUCAGGGGUGAAAUCCUGGAGCUCAACUCCAGAACUGCCUUUGAUACUGGCGACCUUGAGUUCGGGAGAGGUGAGUGGAACUGCGAGUGUAGAGGUGAAAUUCGUAGAUAUUCGCAAGAACACCAGUGGCGAAGGCGGCUCACUGGACCGACACUGACGCUGAGGCGCGAAAGCGUGGGGAGCAAACAGG
rnacentral:rRNA from 1 species